rnacentral:rRNA from 1 species
GAUGAACGCUGGCGGCGUGCCUAAUACAUGCAAGUCGAGCGAACAGACGAGGAGCUUGCUCCUCUGACGUUAGCGGCGGACGGGUGAGUAACACGUGGAUAACCUACCUAUAAGACUGGGAUAACUUCGGGAAACCGGAGCUAAUACCGGAUAAUAUAUUGAACCGCAUGGUUCAAUAGUGAAAGACGGUUUUGCUGUCACUUAUAGAUGGAUCCGCGCCGCAUUAGCUAGUUGGUAAGGUAACGGCUUACCAAGGCAACGAUGCGUAGCCGACCUGAGAGGGUGAUAGGCCACACUGGAACUGAGACACGGUCCAGACUCCUAAGGGAGGCAGCAGUAGGGAAUCGUCCGCAAUGGGCGAAAGCCUGACGGAGCAACGCCGCGUGAGUGAUGAAGGUCUUCGGAUCGUAAAACUCUGUUAUUAGGGAAGAACAAAUGUGUAAGUAACUAUGCACGUCUUGACGGUACCUAAUCAGAAAGCCACGGCUAACUACGUG